CAACUGGUACUCACUCUCACCAGACAUUUCCCUUAAAGUGGGAGGUCAAGGGUUCGAGCAGUGGGGGAGGCGACCUAAUUCCCAGAGGAAGGAAUUGGGCCAAAUCCACUCGGGCUAGGGCGGGCCGUAAUGGCUCUCCCGAGGGACAAAUCCUGCCUGGAACCCGUGAGGGUGAAGGGAUGUUAAGAGCUGCUCACAGUGGCUGGGCCCAGAGGAAGGUCACGGGCUGUGAACAAUUGGUACUCACUCUCACCAGACUAUUCCCUUAAAGUGGGAGGUCAAGGGUUUGAGCAGUGGGGGAGGCGACCUAAUUCCCAGAGGAAGGAAUUGGGCCAAAUCCACUCGGGCUAGGGCGGGCCGUAAUGGCUCCCCCGAGGGACAAAUCCUGCCUGGAACCCAUGAGCGUGAAGGGAUGUUAAGAGCUGCUCACAGUGGCUGGGCCCAGAGGAAGGUCACGGGCUGUGAGCGGUAACAG
rnacentral:lncRNA from 1 species